AAGACAUUGUGUCUUCGAGUCGUUGAUUUCACACUGCCGAGAAAAGCCUCUAGAUAGAAAAUAGGUGCCCGUACCGCAAACCGACACAGGUAGUCAAGAUGAGAAUUCUAAGGUGAGCGAGCGAACUCUCGUUAAGGAACUCGGCAAAAUGACCCCGUAACUUCGGGAGAAGGGGUGCUCUUUAGGGUUAACGCCCAGAAGAGCCGCAGUGAAUAGGCCCAAGCGACUGUUUAUCAAAAACACAGGUCUCUGCUAAACCGUAAGGUGAUGUAUAGGGGCUGACGCCUGCCCGGUGCUGGAAGGUUAAGAGGAGUGGUUAGCUUCUGCGAAGCUACGAAUCGAAGCCCCAGUAAACGGCGGCCGUAACUAUAACGGUCCUAAGGUAGCGAAAUUCCUUGUCGGGUAAGUUCCGACCCGCACGAAAGGCGUAACGAUUUGGGCACUGUCUCAACGAGAGACUCGGUGAAAUCAUAGUACCUGUGAAGAUGCAGGUUACCCGCGACAGGACGGAAAGACCCCGUGGAGCUUUACUGUAGCC
rnacentral:rRNA from 1 species